AAUGGGGGAAACCCUGACGCAGCAACGCCGCGUGAAGGAUGAAGGCUUUCGGGUUGUAAACUUCUUUGAUUAGGGACGAAUAAUGACGGUACCUAAAAAACAAGCCACGGCUAACUACGUGCCAGCAGCCGCGGUAAUACGUAGGUGGCGAGCGUUGUCCGGAAUUACUGGGUGUAAAGGGCGUGUAGGCGGGAAUGCAAGUCAGAUGUGAAAUUCUGAGGCUUAACCUCAGAGCUGCAUCCGAAACUGUGUUUCUUGAGUGCUGGAGAGGAUAGUGGAAUUCCUAGUGUAGCGGUGAAAUGCGUAGAUAUUAGGAGGAACACCAGUGGCGAAGGCGGCUAUCUGGACAGUAACUGACGCUGAGGCGCGAAAGCGUGGGGAGCAAACAGGAUUAGAUACCCUGGUAGUCCACGCCGUAAACGAUGGAUACUAGGUGUAGGAGGUAUUGAAUCCUUCUGUGCCGACGUUAACACAUUAAGUAUCCCACCUGGGGAGUACGGCCGCAAGGUUGAAACUCAAAUGAAUUGA
rnacentral:rRNA from 1 species